ACGGGUGAGUAACACGUGGGCAACCUACCUUAUCGACUGGGAUAACUCCGGGAAACCGGGGCUAAUACCGGAUAACAUCUAGCACCUCCUGGUGCCGGAUUAAAAGAGGGCUUCUUGCUCUCACGAUGAGAUGGGCCCGCGGCGCAUUAGCUAGUUGGAGAGGUAACGGCUCCCCAAGGCGACGAUGCGUAGCCGACCUGAGAGGGUGAUCGGCCACACUGGGACUGAGACACGGCCCAGACUCCUACGGGAGGCAGCAGUAGGGAAUCUUCCGCAAUGGACGAAAGUCUGACGGAGCAACGCCGCGUGAGUGAUGAAGGGUUUCGGCUCGUAAAGCUCUGUUAUGAGGGAAGAACACGUACCGUUCGAAUAGGGCGGUACCUCGACGGUACCUCAUCAGAAAGCCACGGCUAACUACGUGCCAGCAGCCGCGGUAAUACGUAGGUGGCAAGCGUUGUCCGGAAUUAUUGGGCGUAAAGCGCGCGCAGGCGGCCUUUUAAGUCUGAUGUGAAAUCUUGCGGCUCGACCGCAAGCGGCCAUUGGAAACUGGGAGGCUUGAGUACAGAAGAGGAGAGUGGAA
rnacentral:rRNA from 1 species